CCAUAUUGAAUAGAUACUGAGAGAGUGUGCAGCCUUGUCUUAACCCUGAUUUUAGUGGAACUGCUUUGAGUUUCUCUCCAUUUGAUUUGAUGUUAGCUAUUGGCUGGCUGUAUAUUGCCUUUAUUGUGUUUCCAUAGUAGGCACCUUGUAUCUCUGGUCUCUGCAAGACCAUUUCUUUCUUUUUAAUUUUAUUAAAUUUAGUGAUUGAUUGAUUUGUUCAUUUUACAUCUUAUCCCAGCCCCUCUCUCCCCUUCUCUCAGUCCCAGCCCACACCUCUUUCCUCUUUCCCCCCUCCCCUUCUCCUCAGAAAAGGGGAGGCCCCUUCAACUUACAGCUCACCCCAGCACAUCAAAUCACAUCAGGACUAAACACAUCCUCUUCCACUGAGGCCAACAAAGCAGCCAAGUUAGGGAAAAUGAUCCAAAUGCAGGAGCAGAGUCCAUAUCAGAUACAAUCCCCACUCCACUUGCUAGAGAACCCACAUGCACAUAAACGUGUUUCCAAGGUAAGAACAGAAACACAAAGCACAGCAUUGAGAACUAAAACACGUAUGUCUUGCUUUCUUAACUAGGUUGGGAAGAAAACAGAAAAGUUGUAUCUCGCGCUGUAGAGAAGAGCACAUAAACGUGUUUCCAAGAUGCUGCUGUCUCAGAUGGGAGCCCUGAGGGCAUCAUUCUUGCCCUGGGUUCUGAAGAUACCUCGACCCCAGUUGCACACAGAAGAAGAAUCCCUAAGGUGGACAAAACUUAAAAGAGACAGAGGCGAAGAUCAUCAGAGGUACAUAUGAUUGGGAUCAUGUUUAUCCACCACUUGAAAACCUCCUUUUCCAAAUGCUCACCAUUAUCCCGGAGAGGAGGCCGUCCAUUGAAGACCUUGAGAAACACCCAUGGGCAAAAAUAUGAAGAAGUAAAGGUGCCAAGUGAGACCUACACAGACUCAAAAUCGUGGACAUGCUCUGUGAUCUUGGGUUUAAUUCCAAUGCCAAUUAUGGCUUUGUACCUCAUAUUGAAGGAAAAGCCAAGAAAGGGGCUUGAGCUUGGCAGCUCCAUGGAAGCCAAGCCUUUGGACCCUGGACCCACGCCACCCUCCACCCCAGCACAUGCGUCUGUCUCUAGUCUUCCCCUAAAGCGUAUCACCAGUGCCCCCAACCUUUGGCCUCCUCCAUGCCCAGCCCUCAGCCCAGAAGCAGCCUGUUGCCAGGACACUGCCAAGGAAGAAGCUGGUCAGAAGUUCCUCCCUGACUCCGAUUGCUAUAUGCUUCUCCCAGAACAACAGCCUCAUUUGUACCUAUAUUCCCCUGUGCCAUGCUGUG